CGGAGGAUCCAAGCGUUAUCCGGAUUUAUUGGGUUUAAAGGGUGCGUAGGUGGCCUGUUAAGUCAGGGGUGAAAGACGGUAGCUCAACUAUCGCAGUGCCCUUGAUACUGAUGGGCUUGAAUGGACUAGAGGUAGGCGGAAUGUGACAAGUAGCGGUGAAAUGCAUAGAUAUGUCACAGAACACCGAUUGCGAAGGCAGCUUACUAUGGUUUUAUUGACGCUGAGGCACGAAAGCGUGGGGAUCAAACAGGAUUAGAUACCCUGGUAGUCCACGCCCUAAACGAUGAAUACUCGCUGUUGGCGAUACACAGUCAGCGGCUAAGCGAAAGCGUUAAGUAUUCCACCUGGGGAGUACGCCCGCAAGGGUG
rnacentral:rRNA from 1 species